AGCCAUAUCACGUUGAAACACUAGUUCCCGUACGAUCACUGAAAUUAAGCAAUGUCGAGCCUAUUCGGUACUUAGAUGGGUGACCGCUUGGGAAUAGCAGGUGCUGUAAG